GACGAACGCUGGCGGCGUGCUUAACACAUGCAAGUCGAACGGAAAGGCCCUGCUUGCAGGGUACUCGAGUGGCGAACGGGUGAGUAACACGUGGGUGAUCUGCCCUGCACUUCGGGAUAAGCCUGGGAAACUGGGUCUAAUACCGGAUAGGAGCCAUUUUUAGUGUGAUGGUUGGAAAGUUUUUUCGGUGUAGGAUGAGCUCGCGGCCUAUCAGCUUGUUGGUGGGGUAAUGGCCUACCAAGGCGGCGACGGGUAGCCGGCCUGCGAGGGUGGACGGCCACAUUGGGACUGGGAUACGGCCCAGACUCCUACGGGAGGCAGCAGUGGGGAAUAUUGCACAAUGGGCGCAAGCCUGAUGCAGCGACGCCGCGUGGGGGAUGACGGCCUUCGGGUUGUAAACUCCUUUCGCUAGGGACGAAGCUUUUUGUGACGGUACCUAGAUAAGAAGCACCGGCUAACUACGUG
rnacentral:rRNA from 1 species